rnacentral:lncRNA from 10 species
GAAAUUCCAAACGGAAUGAAAUUCUGAUCUAAUGGAGCCUAAGAAUCAGCAGGAGCCCAAGUCCAAGUUUAGAAAGUAAAGACAAGACAAGUAUAAAUACAAAGAAGGAAUUCUGUAAAAACUCAAGGCUUUAAGCAAGGUCAAAUAAUUAAUGUCUUCCAGCAGCUUCCAUCCUCUGAGAAGGGCCCAACCUACAUGCCACCAUGUCCCUUCAAGUGCAGGCAGACAGGGAAGUCAGGAUAAUGGAUCCCUGAGCAUGGCUAAUGCAUGAUGGAAAAGCAUCUUUCUCCUCUGGGGCUGGCAAUGUAAUUUCAUACUAAAUUUACUGUGGUUUAUGUAAUUCUUUUCAUUCACAGCAGAAGGAGUUUCUUUGCUGCUUCCCUUUUCAGAAACUUGGAGACCAUAUAUCUUUGCAAAGUGGAUUUUUAAAAAUAAAACAAAGAAGAAAAGAUUAAACCAGAGAAGCUCCCAAGUUUUCUGCCUUCUGCCUGGACCAGCUUCCUGUGCUUCUUCCUUUCCAAAAUUGAUGUGGUAAAUGUUAUUGCAGUAGUACUGGCUCAGAAAAGCCCAGGCCUUCCAAGAAUGCAACCUUCAUGGAGAAAUUCUGCGACUCUUUCUCCUCUGGGGAGGCUGGAGAGUUCACCAUACUGAAUAUUCACACCUUGCACCAUGAACCCAGAAGUGUGAGAAGCCAAGAAGGAAAUGACUACCUCUAG